ACGGCCAUACCAUGCUGAAUAUACCAGUUCUCGUUAGAUCACCGAAGUCAAGCAUCAUUGGACGCGGGUGGGUGACCACCUUGGGAACACCGCGUGCAGU
rnacentral:rRNA from 1 species